GACGAACGCUGGCGGCGUGCUUAACACAUGCAAGUCGAGCGGAAAGGCCCUUCGGGGUACUCGAGCGGCGAACGGGUGAGUAACACGUGAGUAACCUGCCCCAGACUUUGGGAUAACCCUCGGAAACGGGGGCUAAUACCGGAUACGACACAGCUUCGCAUGGGGUCUGUGUGGAAAGUUUUUCGGUUUGGGAUGGGCUCGCGGCCUAUCAGCUUGUUGGUGUGGUGAUGGCCUACCAAGGCGACGACGGGUAGCCGGCCUGAGAGGGCGACCGGCCACACUGGGACUGAGACACGGCCCAGACUCCUACGGGAGGCAGCAGUGGGGAAUAUUGCACAAUGGGCGGAAGCCUGAUGCAGCGACGCCGCGUGAGGGAUGACGGCCUUCGGGUUGUAAACCUCUUUCAGCAGGGACGAAGCGUAAGUGACGGUACCUGCAGAAGAAGCGCCGGCCAACUACGU
rnacentral:rRNA from 1 species